AUGUCCCAACCAAUCGAGUCUACAUAUCUCGGGAUGUUGUUUUUGAUGCGACUGUCCUCCCCUUUUCUACCAUGCCUCAUUCAUCCACCACAACACCUUCUAUGCAUUCAUCUCCUCUUAUGCCUGGCCAAUUUGAAGAUGUUGCAUAUUCGCCUGUGUUGUUACCUAAUCAUGGUGCAGGAAUUGGACGUGGAGCUCGCCUGGAACUCCUCCCUGACGGACCCGCUACGUCGCCUGUGGUGCACGUCGAUCGGCCGGUGCAUGCGGCAGCCACCUGGAUUUGUUGAUCACACUCAACCUCAUCAUCUCUGUCAUCUGACGAAGGCCAUAUAUGGACUGAAGCAGGCUCCCCGUGCCUGGCAUGCUCGCCUGGCUUCAGCUCUACGCACUCAUGGGUUCAUUCCUUCGACAACUGAUACUUCACUGUUCUUGUUUCAGCGACCGAGUGUGACCAUGUACCUCCUUGUGUAUGUGGAUGAUAUUGUCCUGGUGAACUCAUCUCCGACGGCUGCUGAUGCUCUUGUGACUGCACUUGGUCGUGAUUUUGUAGUUAAGGAUUUGGGACAACUUCAUUUCUUCCUGGGUAUUGAGGUCGCUCAUCAGUCUCGUGGCAGUUUGGCUCUCACCCAGAAGAAGUACUCUCUUGAUCUCUUGCGCCGUGCUGGUAUGCUCAAGUGCAAGCCAUCGCCUACGCCCAUGUCCUCCACUGACACCCUUUCUGCUGCUGAUGGUGCUCUUCUCUCUCCUGAGGAUGCUACUGAGUACAGGAGUAUUGUUGGUGGCCUGCAGUAUCUGACGAUCACGCGUCCUGAUCUCUCCUUUGCGGUUAACAGGGUGUGCCACUAUCUUCAUGCUCCCACUGAUGUACACUGGUCUGCUGUGAAGCACAUACUGCGUUAUGUGCGUCUCACUGUCUCCUUUGGUCUUCACCUGCACCCCAGUUCCUCCGGAGUUCUUUCUGCAUUCUUUGAUGCUGAUUGGGCUGGGUGUCCAGAUGACAGGCGAUCCACGGGGGACAUGCUGUGUUCUUGGGUCCUAAUCUGA
rnacentral:rRNA from 1 species